rnacentral:tRNA from 1 species
CAAAGCUGAGAUUCUUCUUAAACUAUUCCCUG